AUUAAGAUGGCAGAGCCCGGCCAAUGCAAAAGAUCUAAACCCUUUCCACAGGGGUUCAAAUCCCCUCCUUAAUU